GAUGAACGCUGGCGGCGUGCCUAAUACAUGCAAGUCGAGCGAACAGACGAGGAGCUUGCUCCUCUGACGUUAGCGGCGGACGGGUGAGUAACACGUGGAUAACCUACCUAUAAGACUGGGAUAACUUCGGGAAACCGGAGCUAAUACCGGAUAAUAUAUUGAACCGCAUGGUUCAAUAGUGAAAGACGGUUUUGCUGUCACUUAUAGAUGGAUCCGCGCCGCAUUAGCUAGUUGGUAAGGUAACGGCUUACCAAGGCAACGAUGCGUAGCCGACCUGAGAGGGUGAUCGGCCACACUGGAACUGAGACACGGGCCAGACUCCUACGGGAGGCAGCAGUAGGGAAUCUUCCGCAAUGGGCGAAAGCCUGACGGAGCAACGCCGCGUGAGUGAUGAAGGUCUUCGGAUCGUAAAACUCUGUUAUUAGGGAAGAACAAAUGUGUAAGUAACUAUGCACGUCUUGACGGUACCUAAUCAGAAAGCCACGGCUAACUACGU
rnacentral:rRNA from 1 species